rnacentral:rRNA from 1 species
AUUGAACGCUGGCGGCAGGCUUAACACAUGCAAGUCGAACGAGCGGCGGACGGGUGAGUAAUGUAUGGGGCUCUGCCUGAUGGAGGGGGAUAACUACUGGAAACGGUAGCUAAUACCGCAUACCAUCAGAUGAACCCAUAUGGGAUUAGCUUGUAGGUGAGGUAACGGCUCACCUAGGCGACGAUCCAUAGCUGGUCUGAGAGGAUGAUCAGCCACACUGGGACUGAAGAACGGCCCAAACUCCUGCGGGAGGCAGCAGUGGGGAAUAUUGCCCCAUGGGCGGAAGCCUGAUGCAGCCCUGCCGCGGGUAUGAAGGAGGCCUUCGGGUUGUAAAGGACUUUCAGUCGGGAGGCGUUACCGACAGAAGAAGCACCGGCUAACUCCGUGCCAGCAGCCGCGGUAAUAC